CAUUCAGAACGAAGUUCUUGAUGUCGCGUUAUUUAAUAUAUUAGUUUUUUCACUCCUUUGUAAAUAUUCACACAAACAUAUACAAUAAAUUUUUAAUUUCGCCGAUCCGAUCAAACAUCCUGGACCCACCGCUGAUGUCAUCCGAAGGUGAGGAAGCUUCUGCAGAAGUUGUGGUUAGUGAUAUUCUUGCCAGCACAAGAUAAUUAAUUACUAGGAAAGAAAUAAUAAAAAAUUUUAUUAAUUACGAAACUGAUAACUAUAUAUUAAAUGUUGAGUGUUAGAAAAUGUAUAUUUAUGAAGGAGAAAAUCAUCAUUUUACAUUUCAAGUCUUACUAACACCCUUACUUUUAUGUAUUUAAGCUUAUUGUAAUUUAAUUACGUGUGUUUUAUUUUAAUUAAGUAUUUUAUGUAUUUUAGGGGCAUCAUAGUCAUUUCACAAUAAAUGAGAAAUCAUACGCCAAAACGGACAUCACUUUUGAACUCAGGACAGUCGAAAACUUUAGGAGGAACAUAAAAGGAAGAAUGUCACUGUUCACAUGUACAGUGCUAUUUACAUGUACGAUAUUGUCUACGUUACUGUUCAUGACACUAUUCACAUAGACGGAAUGAUGACGUGGCAUUGACCGAUGAUGUGGCAUUGACUGAUGAGGUGUCACGAUCCUAUUGGACUAAAAUUCUUAUGUACUAUUGAUCGAUGACGUGGCAGCAUAUCAGUGGACCAAAAAUCUCGCGUAUGGUACAUGCAUUACACAAGAUUAUUUUCAACCAAACCGUAUUACUAUUCAAACCGCGUGGUCAAACCACGUACUGUUGACUGAUGACGUGGCGCAAUCCUGAGCGUCUGAAAUGUUUUUGAUUCGAUGACCAUGAUUUACUCAAUGUAUCUAUAAAAAGGGGGCUCUCCCCCCUUAAUUUGUUAUCUCUGAAUCCAAUUUUGGGCUCCAUUUUCUGUAAUUCCUUCUUCAUCUUUUAUUUUCUACGUAUUUUAAUAAAUUUCCAUUUUGCCCCUAGAUCAAUUGUGAGUAGCUAAUUUUCUUUCAAGCUUGGGUUGAAGGUGAAGUCUCAACAUAUGUCAUGCGCUCUAUUUGGUAAAUUUAUUUUCUCUUCCCCUCUAGUUUUUGUGGAUGUUUUGACUUCUCGUCGACAAAUAAUAAUAAUCUUGUCUAGAUACCAUCCUGAUUUCACCGACUCCCUAGUACAAGGUUAUUAUUAUUUGGCACAAUAAGCCCUUAGCACCAUAUUGAUUAUAGUGUGGUUCAUGAGGUGUGGAUUCCCCCCUCAUGAUUUAAUUGACAUUAAUAAGGAAUAUUUAGGCCAUGGUGCAUGUUGAUACGGAUCCAGAUACCCAAGUGUUUCAUUUCAAUAGAUUUCUCUUCAAUUUAUUCUCGCCAUUUCAAUUCACUUUCACCACAAAUCCAAACAUCCAUUUAGAAAAAUUAAUUCUACACACAAUUAGAAUCAACCUCCUCGUGGGAUCGACACUCGUCACCAUUAAUCUAUUCUACAAUAGAUUCUUGCACUUGCGAGUUCAAUAAAAUUUGCACAACAUUAGACACACUAUAAUUUUAUGAAAACUGAAGAUCCAUACUAAUAUAAAACUAAAACCACCAUUAAUUAUAUUAUACUAUAACAACAAAUCCAGGAUAUAUUAACAAACACGUCGAUUUUGAAGCUGAAUUUAUAAUCUAAUCUUAACUCUAUUUCUUCUGUAUUUACAUAAUCAUCCUGCUAAUUAAGGAUUUACAACUUUGCCAUGAAAGGUCGGUGGCUCCAUGCCUUUUUCUUCUUCUCGUCACAAAUUUUUCUUUUGCUUCCACUUCACCAUUAAAGAACAUCCCAAAGCUUGGUGCUGUUCGUGGAAGGACUAUUUUUCAAAACCCUAGCAAAAAAAUCCACAAAGUUACUAUUAUGAUCAAACACUUGAUCACUUUAACUAUAAUCCACAAAGUUAUUUAACUUUUCCUCAUAGAUAUGCGUUGAACUUCAAGCAUUGGGGCGGUGGCAGAGCCAUGGCGGCGCCGAUAUUGGCAUAUCUUGGUGAAGAGAGUAGUCUUGAUAUGAUGACCUUGGUGGCAUUGGAUGGCUUGCUGAUAAUGCUCAUCGAUUUAAAGCCUUACAAGUUUACAUAGAGGUAAGUAAAGAAUUUGUUAUCAGGCUAGCUUGAUAAUAAUUAAAAUAGAGUUUGCGUAUGAAAUAAUAAUAAUAAAGACAAAUCUUAAUCAGAAUAUUCUACAAUAUGAACUGAAAAGUUGUGAUGGAUUUUUUUUUAAUUCAAUUUUUUAUGCAGUAUCGGUUCUAUGGAAAAUCAGUACCUUUUGUAUCAAGCAAAGAUGCCCUAAAAAAUGCAACUCUUCGUGGAUAUUUAAACUCUGGUCAAGCUUUGGCAGAUUAUGCAAAGAUUCUCUUACACAUCAAGGAAAAUUUAUCGGCCGAAAUGUCACCCAUUAUCGUCGUUGGAGCAUCUUAUCGAGGAAGUAAAUUUUAAUAUUAUUAACUUACUUACAUCUUUUGAUUAAUGUCGUGUCAUUUGUUGCACCAUUUUAUUCAUUUUGAUCUCGUUUGACCAAAAUAUUGAUUACGCCAAUAUUAUUUUGAUACAAAUUUAUUUUGCAUUCCAAUUAAUGAAUACUUUCAUCGAUCGUAAAAUUAAAAAAUACUAAAUAUAUUUAAGAUAAUUACGUUUUUAAAAUUAACCAUCUCAAUUCAUCCUAUUUUAUCAAAUCUGGGAUGUGAUAUGGUUUUGAGAGUUACUCAAUUGUGGGUUUGUUAUCACCAGUGCUUGCAGCAUGGUUUCGCUUGAAGUAUCCUCAGAGUCUUUGGGAGCAGUUGCCUCGCCCGCCCCAAUUCUCUACUUUGAUAAUAUCACACCAUCAAACGCAUAUUAUGAUCUUGUCACCAAUGACUUUAGGGUAAGAAACAAAAUUAAUUAAUUAAAAUUCUAUAUAUGUAUGAUUAUGUUUUCUUGUUAAAAUUUAACCAUUGAAUUUUGAAAAUUAAUGAUGCAGGAAGCCAGCGAGAGCUGCUACAUGACCAUCAAACAGUCCUGGGUUGAAAUGGAUAAAACCGCUGCUAGAAAAAAUGGACUUGCUUUUCUCUCUAAAAAGUUCAAAACCUGCAAGAAAUUAAUCAUAUUACUUUACAUAAUUGCUUAUAUAUAUAUCCAUCCGAUUUUCCCUUAAUAACAAUUAAUGCAAUGUUAUUGUAGCAUCAUUAUCGAAUGUACUAUGUCUAAUUAAUUAUCUGUCAUCCUCAGAGUAUAUAUACAUUUCGAUUAACGUGUAAUAUACAAAGUAAAAAUCUGGAUUUGGGCUUAUACACGGCCUUUGCAUUACCAUAUAUAUAGUAUACUGGUGCUUAGAUUCAGCCCUCCAGAGGUUCGUAUUUUACAGAAUCUAAAUUUGAACUACAAAACCACGCACAACUCUAAUUAUCAAAUAAGGCCAAAUUUGUACGUUUGCAUUUGAUAAUAUCAAUAGCUUCAUACUUAUGAAGUUUAUUGUAAUCUAACUAAAUAUAACAACAUUUUUUAGACGGCAUGUUGAAAGAUCUUUUAUAAUGUUACUAACCUUGUGGCACUUAAUUCUAUGUUGUUGUUGUUUAUUUGAUUACAAGCCUCUGAAGGAUGUUUCAGAAUUGAAGGAUUAUUUAGAGUGUAUGUAUACGGGUGCAGCUCAGUAUGAUGAUCCUCAGGAAUAUCCACUGAACAAAGCUUGUGAAGGUAUCGAUGGAGCUUCAGAAGGCACGGAUACCCUAGGCCGGAUAUUCUCAGGAAUUGUUGCUUUAAGAUGGGAGAAUUCUUGCCAUGAUGUUGAUGAAUUCUUAUCCGAUGAAACACUAGACUCGAGCUGGGGCUGGCAGGUAUGUGAUUACGGGUGACAUGAUUUCAUUAGAUACUUCUAUUGAGAUCGUCAAACAAACAUCAUGUUGCGAUGAAUGAAUCUCUCACCUAACAAUACCUAUUUUAUGUACAUCUCUUAAUUUUAUUUAUGAGACUACAUAUUUAUGAAUGAUUAAAAAUAAUUUUCUCCUUUAUUUAGUUAUUUAUUUAUUAUGAUUUUUUUUUUGGGAGGGGCGCCGGGGGGGGGGGGGGGAGGGGAUUUUUCAUGCAGAUAUGCAGUGAAAUGGUCUCAUCGAUUGGAAUUGACAAAAAUAGUACAAUUUUCAAGCAGACGAUAGAAUAUAUGAAUUCAUGCAAUAAGUCUUAUGGAGUGGCUCCAAUACCACAUUGGAUUACAACUUAUUACGACAGUCAUGUAAGUGUCAAUUAAUCCCCAAAUUAAUUCUUUUAAUAAUUUAAUUUUUUUCAUUUUCUUUUUUAAUCAUAAAUUUUAUCUCAAUUUUUGUUCGAUUUUUAUUUCUUUUUAAUUUGCAUGGUAUAAGAGUGGUUGUAAAGAGAUUUGGUAGCAACCUUAUUUUCUCUAAUGGCUUUCGUGAUCCCUAUAGCAGCGCUGGGUAAUUAAGCUUAAGAAUUUUGGACAUUCUUUUCUAUCAAAGUUACCUAUUUAAUUAUAUACCUUUUUCUUUUCUUCUUCUUUUGUUUUUUUUUUCUGAGAUUACAGUGUUCUGGAAGAUAUAUCAGAUAGCAUAAUAGCAGUGAUAACAAAAAAUGGUAUGUAAAUGUUUCUGUAAAAUAAAAAAAUUAGUGUUCAAUUAUUAACUAAAUUAUUGGAUAACAUAAUUAAUAAUGUGUAAAUUAGAGCAGGUUCCCAUUGCUUAGACAUACAGCCAGCAACAGGAGAUGAUCCAGAGUGGUUAGUAAUGCAGCGAGAGAUUGAAGUGGACAUGGUUCAUGAUUGGAUCCUUAAAUACUCUGCAGAUUUGCUUCAAAAUCAGAGCAUAAGAUUAAAUUGGGACUGCAAAAUUAGUUUUUUCUUUUUCUUCCUCUCGUCUAUCUUUCUAAUAUUUAUGGAGCAAAGAUAAAUAAUAGAGCACCUAGCUAGUUUAAGAGUUCAUUUUCAUUAUUCUUAAUCUGGGUUGUCUAAAUGUGUAGAACAAGUGUGCAGUAUUACUUAAUGUAAAGCACAUAUAAAGGGCUCAAUCUUUAUGUAAUAAUCAUAUGGUGAAUAUCAAUUCAUGUACAAUCACAUUGAAUUAACCAUUUUCUCCCUUUGAUUUAGGAGUUACUGUAUAGGUCGUUGAAGCCGGUGACAGUAAAAGAAUUUGCUCUCCAUGUACAUGUAUCUCUCAUUCUCAACCUGUUCCUAUGCUUCUACAUAAUAGCUUCUUUUGUUAAUUAUUUGACAAUCUCAUGCAAUUCCAAACAUGACUUAGAAUCAGUUUGAGAUUCCGGUGGCUAUUGAAAUAAACUACUUCUGUUAUGCAGAUAAAAUAAGCUAAUGAUUAUAAAAAUAGCUCGCUCAGUGUUUGGUAAAUUCAAUUACAAAAGAACUAUUUUAUUAUAUAAUCACUAAAAUAAUUAUAAGUUUAAAUUGUCAUUUAUUUAUAUAUUAGCAUUUAUAAAAAAAGUAAGAUACAAUUAUUCUUUUCUUAGUUAUAAUAAAAACUUUAAAAAAUAUGGCAUUUUAUUUAAUAAGUUGCUUCUAAAAUAAUCCCAUACUUGUUUUAAAAGCUAUUGUCAAAAUAGAGAAAAUAUAAAUUAACUUUUAACAAAUUUACCAAACAUUAUUUUUAUCAAAACUUUAAAAUAAACUGUUUAUAGUAUUUCAACUGUAAUCCCAAAUAGGACAUUAGUCUUUGUUCAAAAUAAGGUUAGACAUUGAAUAUGUGUACACGUAUAAACGAAAAUAUCUAGACUGAAGAAACAUCUCGACUUAAUAAGUCUGCUUCAUUCUUUUUUUUCCACAGCAUAUGUCAAGAGUAAGUUCAAAAUCAUUGCUGACUAGGGGAAGAAGUCUUCAAAGUCAAGGUGAUUAGAUUAGCAGGUCACGAAAUUAUGUAUCGGAGGGGUUCCCUGCCCUCAACUUAAAAAGAUGCCUUAAAAUUAAAUAUUAAAUAAUAUGGCAUUUAUUAAAUUUAAAAAAUAUAAAAAAAUUAAAAGAAAACCUUUUUUUAAGUAAUGUUUGACUAAUGAUUUUGCGUAUCGACUUUGAAUGACCAUGAUAGUAUUUUAAAGAUAAGAAAAGUGGAUUCAAAUGUGGUAUGAUUUAAAAAUAUGGUUAAGAGGUAUGUGAAUAUGAGUAUAAUGAUUGUUUUUGAAAUCAUUAGACAAUACCCUUCCCUCCAGAUACAGUGAUACAGAUAAUAUGAGAUGAGAGGCCAUUGGGGCCCGUCUGAACACACAUAGAGGCUUUGGGCCGUGUGUUUGGGCGCUUUUGCCUUUUGGGGGCAUAUGCAUGCGGUAUGAUGAUUACAGAGAUACAGAUAUGAGAUACAGACAUAUAUUGAGAUACGGAUGAUACAGAUAUGAGAUACAGACAUAUAUUGAGAUACAGAUGAUACAGAUGAGAUACAGGCCUUUGGGGCCCGUCUGAGUACACACAUAGGCCUUGGGCCGUGUGCUUGGGCGUUUUUGUCCUUUGGGGACCAGAUUAUGCAUGCACAGAUAUGAUGAGAUAUGAGAUGGUAUUUUCCUGUCUAUCCGUGUAGCUCCGGGGCGUGACGUUACCCAGAUAGUACGUCAUUGCCCGUCCGUUGAGGUCCGGAUAUGACGAGAUUAUUUCCCUAGGUACUUGUUUGAUGAUGAUUUUCAGAUUUGUGAAUUAUAUAUGAUAUUGUGAUAUGAUUUCCAUGGUUAGUAAUCUGAUUUAAAUGUUUAAUGAUUUAUUUAUGGUUUCUCGCUUAUGGUUUAAUGAAAGCGUGCUUGGAAAUGGUAUGAUGAUUUCUUUUAAAGUAAGAAUUAAUUUUCAAAACUACUAUCCACUCACUGAUCUCACUGAGUUUUAGACUCAUCCCGUUUUUAUUAUAUUUUCCCCCCCUCACCAGGAGGUUGCAGGUACACCAGACCGACCCAGCGACUGUAAAUAUAUUUUGAGUCUUGGCCACGUGAUGAUGUUAGAAGAUAUAACUGUUUUUAUUAGGACAUCUUGGUUAUCUCGUCCUGGUGGGAUUGUAUAAUUUUUGUUAUAUUAUUCUUUUGGGAUUAAGAAUUGAGAUAUUAAUAUUAGUUAUAAUGUUAUCUUUUGAGACUCUAGAGAUAUAAAACUCAGCAUUUUGGUUGAGGAUGUUGACCACUGGAAUUUGUUGUAUAUUGAAUUGUAUUGGGAGUGUUAUAUUCAUAUUUGUAGAUUGGGAGUGUUAUAUAUAUAAAUGAGACUCUAACGAAUUUUCGGCAGAAUCGAAUUAUUAUCAAGUCCGUUUUGAUGAGACUAGAUAGACUUGCCUGGGGGGAUUCGGGGCGGGUCGUUUCACGUCCACUUGGAUCUAUCUGAUAAUCACCUCCUAGGACAUAUCCCUCCAACUCUUGGUCGUCUAAGCAAAUUGAAAAUUUUGAACUUGUCUUUUAACUCCCUUGUCGGUAAUAUCCCAUCCAAUGUAGGUCAUCUAACCCAGCUAACUACUUUGGCUGUUGCCUCAAACCGAAUGAAUGGUUCCAUCCCAUUAGGAAUCGGGAGUUUGAAGGUUCUUCAAGUUCUUGACCUGUCCAUAAAUGAAAUUGGAGGUUCAAUUCCUUCAACACUUUAAAGUGGUUGAGAAGUGUAGACUUGUCCCAAAACAAACUUGUUGGCCCAAUCCCUUCGUCUCUAGGUCAUUUGACUCAGCUAACUACUUUGAAUAUGUACAACAACAAACUUGAUGGGCUAAUUCCUCCAGAACUCAUGAAUUGCUCAAAGUUGAGGAUAUUAAAAUUGGGAAACAACUUGUUAAGCGGAAGCAUUCCGUCACAGAUCGGCAAACUUCAAGAACUAUAUUAUCUUGAUCUAAGCGGUAACUUCAUUAAUGGUAAAAUACCUUCCCAACUUGGAGAAUUUCCACUCAUAAACACCAUGGACCUUUCCAUGAAUAACCUUUCCUGUGGAAUCCCUGUAUUUAUCAGAAAAGUGCCACACUUAGAUGUGUCAGGCAAUAAAUUCGGAGUAGAAAUCCCAACUACUUUGGUAAAUGCGCCACCGCCACAUCACAAAAAGAUUGCCACUCGCUUGGUUGCAAUUAUUCUUGCUAUAGUCGCAUUCCCUGCCUUGAUAUUUGGAAUCUUGAUUAUCCGUAGACAAAGGGAUAAAGAAGUUGAACCAGCUGGGACAGGAGAAAUUACCAAGUGCGCUGAUGAGUUUGCAAUUUGGAAUUACGAUGGUAGAAUUACAUUUCAAGACAUGAUUGACGCCACUGAGGAUUUCGAUAUCAAAUACUGCAUUGGAACGGGAGGCUACAGCAGCGUUUACAGGGCACGACUGCCCAGUGGAAAAGUAGUUGCUUUGAAGAAGAUUCACCGUUCAGAAACUGAGGAGUUAGCUUCCCUGGAGAGUUUCCGGAAUGAGGCUCGUCUACUGUCCCAAAUACGGCAUCGAAAUAUCGUAAAGCUUUACGGCUUUUGUUUGCACGAGAAAUGCAUGUUCUUAAUCUAUGAGUACAUGGAAAUGGGAAGCUUGUUCUGUGCUCUACGCACAGAUGAGGAAGCUGUUGGGUUGGAUUGGACUAAAAGGGUGAACAUUGUGAAGGGUAUGGCUCAUGCUUUGUCAUACUUGCAUCAUCACUGCACACCACCAAUUGUUCACCGGGACAUAUUAAGCAACAACAUUCUACUCAACUCAGAAUUAGAAGCAUUUGUUGUGGACUUUGGCAUUGCUAGAUUGUUAAAUUUCGACUCAUCCAACCGAACUAUGUUAGCUGGCACUUUCGGAUAAAUUGCUCCAGGUCCUCCUCUAGCUAUUCCUCUUAUGCUUCUUUAAUUAUCCUCUUAAUUAAUUUUUAUUUGUACUCUGCCAAGUAGUUUUUAAGCAGCUUUAUUUAGGUCGCUACUUGGUUCGAAUUUUGAAAAAGCUAAGGGGCUAAAAAUAAAUUUGACUUUGCCUACCCCUUUACUUUUAAAACACACACACUCUGAACAUAAGUUAAAACAUAAGUUUCUUUGUCAUAACUUGCUGCGGAAGCUAAAAAACAUGAACAAAUUGUUCUUGUUAUUAUUUAUGGAAACAUUACUAAUGAAGGCCUUUGUUUCCUAUAGAACUUGCCUACACCAUGGUUGUGACAGAGAAAUGUGAUGUUUAUAGUUUUGGAGUGGUGGCACUAGAAGUACUAAUGGGAAGGCAUCCAGAAGCGCUCCUCUCAUCGUCAUCUUCAUCAUUGGAUAAAAAUAUAAAGCUGAUUGAUUUGCUGGACCCCCGCCUCUCACCUCCGGUGGAUCAAAAGAUUAGGCAGGAUAUCAUUCUUGUUUCAACAGUAGCAUUUUCAUGCUUGCGUUCGCAACCAAAGUCUCGACCUACAAUGCAACUCGUGUCCAACGAAUUUAUCGCUCGCAAUAAGGCACCGAUGCAGAAACCUUUUCAUGAAAUUUCAAUUUUGGAGCUUAGAAACCAAGAAAUGUAUGUGGUUGAUUAAUGUGAUUUUUCCAAUAAAGGAGACUGUUAAUUGGUUGUGAAAUUAUUAGGUAGUAGUAAUGUAGCAAAUAUUAUGUGUUCGACGAAUUGUCUGCCUUAGUAUUUUUUAAUUCCAUUCACACUACGACAUUAAUCUCCUUUGUAAAGCUAGUACUUUCGCAGUUCACUCUGAUAAAAUAUGGUUUGUCUAAUUGUCUCCAUCUCAAUGAUCUGAAUUAACCAGCAUAUUAAGGAAUUUAAGGUUGUGUCUCUACAAGUUAAAAAGGGUAAAUUGUCAUUCUAAUUAUUAGUUUGUUUUACAAAUUAUAUAUAAAAAUUUCAUUCAGAACGAAGUUAUUGAUGUCGCGUUAUUUAAUAUAUUAGUUUUUUCACUCCUUUGUAAAUAUUCACACAAACAUAUACAAUAAAAUUUUAAUUUAGCCGAUCCGAUCAAACAUCCUGGACCCACCGCUGAUGUCAUCCGAAGGUGAGGAAGCUUCUGCAGAAGUUGUGGUUAGUGAUAUUCUUGCCAGCACAAGAUAAUUAAUUACUAGGAAAGAAAUAAUAAAAAAUUUUAUUAAUUACGAAACUGAUGACUAUAUAUUAGACACACUAUAAUUUUAUGAAAACUGAAGAUUCAUACUAAUAUAAAACUAAAAGCAACAUUAAUUAUAUUAUACGAUAACAACAAAUCCAGGAUAUAUUAACAAACACGUCGAUUUUGAAGCUGAAUUUAUAAUCUAAUCUUAACUCUAUUUCUUCUGUAUUUACAUAAUCAUCCUGCUAAUUAAGGAUUUACAACUUUGCCAUGAAAGGUCGGUGGCUCCAUCUUCAAAUCUCUAAGUAGUUUUUCCUUGGCCUUGUGCUUCUUGCCUUGGAGAUGCACGUCUAGACCUCUCUCGGUAGUAGCAGUGACCUGACAGAGGGCACAACUCCACUCCUUGGGUUUGCUUGAACUCGUUGAAGGAAGCUCUCUAGAACCUGCAGGUGGUGUGCCAGCUUUCUGCUUUGAUCCACAAACACUGGUAUCAGGCUUAGGCUGGAAAUGAUACCCAAACACAGAAACCACAAUGCCUUAUAUUAGUUAUCACAUCAAUGGUAAAAAUGAAAAAUAUUUCCAGUGAACUCCAUCAUCUGCUAUUGCAGUACAGAUGAAAGAAUUUGUUUACAAAAUGAUAAUGUGCAAAUUUUAUUUUAAAUUGUGAAUUCUCAAGAAAGGUAGGAAUGUAGAAGUAUAUUCAAAUAGUUAAUACAACCAGAAUCCUUGUUUAUUAAUAACAUUUCCAGCAUUGAACUAGGAAAAUAUCUCCAUCCCAAAAAAGAAAAAAAAAAGGAAUAUGUUUGAAUAGGAUUACGAAAUACUUUCUUAAUAAGCUGGACAAGGAGAGAUGAUAUCUUAUGAGCAUUAUAAUUCAUAAUUUGAGGAAAAACCAUUUUAAUGGAGCUUCCAGCCCAUCGCACAUACACAAACACAAUCAAUAAGAUUUAACAUAAGAAAUUACCGGGAAAAAGAAACAUCACAAAUCAAUCUGUACAAGUUCAUGUGACACUUCAUGGUAAACAUAUGUAACCUCUCUUGGAAACUUAGCUUGUGACAAGCUCACAUUUUCUCUGUGUUUUCGUUCAAAAAAGGCUUCAGACACACAUUAAUUCCAGGCUGUGGAGGAUCAUAUGUCCUCAUUGCCCAAAUUUUUAAAGCCACAUACAUUGGCAUUUGCACGCAUGGUCAAUGAGUUACACAACUCUGUUGUCUACUUGAGUUGACCAAGCAAACUGAAUUUGUGAACUUUGACCGACAUAAAUAACCCAAUGCUAACAUGUUUGGAAUUAAAUCAAGAUUGUGAGUCCAAAUGUACUCCCCGACAAACUUGUCACCUGUGCAUCAAGACAAAGUCUUAUAGCACUAAGAAUGAACAUGUGAACCUCUAAGCAACAACCUCCUAAUAACAUAAAAAUCAAGGUUGGUGUGGGAUAAAGCCAUUCAAAUGGACAUGUAAAGGGUAACUUUGAUGAAUAAGGGUUUAAGAGAAACAAUCUUAUCACAGAGUAUUUCAAUUGGAGCGGAUGAAGAAACUAACAUGAAACAAACUCACUUAUCUCUAUUUAUUUUUCAAUUUUCAUAGAUCCAAAAUCUAAAAUUAUCAUUUUGAGCUACCCUCAAUUAGUAAGCACUGCAUUGUCACUGCUUUCUUCUGAAAUUUUCCAUCAGCAGAAAAUCUCUAACAAAUCAAAACAAGACUUACCAAGUUUCAUAAGUAUCAAAACAAAAACGAGCAAAGGUCCACAGGGAAGUUCUAGAAUGAAAAAUACUAAUGACGUUGUUACAGUGAAUCUCAGGGUCCAUUUUUCGUGAGGUUAAUGAUUGCAUUCUGGGUUGUGUUGCUAUCAGUCUUUAGUGUUCAUUCAUCUUUUUAUGGUAAGUUGCAUGCAUUUGUUUUGUCUUCAGAGGUUAUGGUGUCAAAUUGAGCGGACACACGUUUGGCUUAUAGAUGAUAUGACCCUGAAACUAUGUCGCAGCUGUUGCUUGUUUUCAGCAUUCUAAUCAUUCACCAACUUGGGAUCUUCAAGUCCGUUGGUGGAAUUAUUUGCACCAUCCAAGUCUUGACGUGCACCCCUUGAUUAUACUCGGUGGGAUAAAUUUUGCACUUAUUUAAAAAAAAUAAAUAAAUAAAGAAUCCCCUGUGGGGAAGUCAAAAUGCAAACACGAAUUGAUUAGUGAAGAGGACACAGUAAUUUGACACGAUAAUUAAUCAUCUCGUUAUGAUGUGUUAGUGUCUAAUUCACAAAUUCGGGUAAUAACCGUCUUAUGAAGUGUCUAAUUUUAUUGCUCCGUUAAUAAAGUGUACUUGGGCUAGCUACGUUACCCCAGCGGUUGGAUUUCCAUUGCUUCCAAUGAGUCAAUACAAAGGCUUAUAGCAUUAGCAUGAUUAACAUAUAUUGCAGCAUCGUAAACAAUGAUUGGAAUCCUGAGAUCUUUGGUAACAUGAUUAUAGACAAUUACGACCAUGUUUGGAUAGCUUAGUUUAAAAAUUACAACAUUAAAAUAUCAGGUAAAUAUUAGUUGUUGUAACUAAAAAAAAUUAUUAUAUUUUUUAUUUUACACUUAUAUGAUAAAAAAUUUAUUUUUUUUAUUGAUUUUGUCAAAAUUAUUAUUUAAAAAUUAUAUAUUCACUGCAUACUAAAUUAAGUUAAUUACUAGGAAAUAAUUAAUUACAAGUUAAUUAAAUUAGAAAUAUGUGUCCAACCAUUAAAACUACGUAUAUCAAGUUAGUUAAUUACUAAGGAAAGAAUUAAUAACAAAUUUUCAUCGCUACGUAUUUAAUUACGAAACUGAUAACUAUAUAUUAGAAAAACUAUAAUUUUAUGAAAACUAAAGAUCAUUACUAAUAUAAAACUAAAACCAACAAUAAUUAUAUGAUAGGAUAACAACAAAUCCAGAAUAGAUUAACAAACACGUCGAUUCUGAAGCUGAAUUUAUAACCGAAUCUUAAUUCUAUUUCUUCUGUAUUUACAUAAUCAUCCUGCUAAUUAAAGAUUUACAACUUUGCCGUGGAAGGUCGGUGGCUUCCAUGCCUUUUUUCUUCUUCUCCUCACAAAUUUUGCUUUUGCUUCCACUUUACCAUUAAAGAACAUCCCAAAGCUUGGUGUUGUGCGUGGAAGGACUAUUUUUCUAAACCCUAGUAAAAAAAUAUCAACUUCAGAACCAGAGGGUGAUCUCGAAACUUAAUAUUAUGAUCAAAUACUUGAUCACUUUAACUAUUAUCCACAAAGUUAUUUAACUUUUCCUCAUAGAUAUGCGUUGAACUUCAAGCAUUGGGGCGGUGGCAGACCCAUGGCGGCGCCGAUAUUGGCAUAUCUUGGUGAAGAGAGUAGUCUUAAUAUGAUGACCUUGGUGGCAUUGGAUGGCUUACUGAUAAUGCUCAUCGAUUUAAAGCCUUACAAGUUUACAUAGAGGUAAGUAAAGAAUUUGUUAUCAGGCUAGCUUGAUAAUAAUUGAAAUAGAGUUCGCAUACGAAAUAAUAAUAAUAAAGACAAAUCCUAAUCAGAAUAUUCUACAAUAUGAACUAAAAAGUUGUGAUGGAUUUUUUUUUAAUUCAAUUUUUUAUGCAGUAUCGGUUCUAUGGAAAAUCAGUACCUUUUGUAUCAAGCAAAGAUGCCCUAAAGAAUGCAACUCUUCGUGGAUAUUUCAACUCUGGUCAAGCUUUGGCACAUUAUGCAAAGAUUCUCUUACACAUCAAGGAAAAUUUAUCGGCCGAAAUGUCUCCCAUUAUCGUUGUUGGAGCAUCUUAUAGAGGAAGUAAAUUUUAAUAUUAUUAACUUACUUACAUCUUUUGAUUAAUGUCGUGUCAUUUGUUGCAUCAUUUUAUUCAUUUUGAUCUCGUUUGACCAAAAUAUUGAUUACGCCAAUAUUAUUUUGAUACAAAUUUAUUUUGCAUUCCAAUUAAUGAAUACUUUCAGCGAUCGUAAAAUUAAGAAAUAGUAAACAUAUUUAAGAUAAUUACGUUUUUAAAAAUAACCAUCUCAAUUCAUCCUAUUUUAUCAGAUCUGGGUAGGGAUGGCAAUGGGGUGGGGUGGGGGUGGGGAGGCCUACCUCAUUCCCCACCCCAUUCCCCAAUAAAUUUAGUGGGGUGGGGAUGGAGAAUCCCCAUGUGGGGAAUGAUUUCCCCAUCCCCACCCCAUUCCCCAUUUAUCUAUUUUAUAAUAUGUAUAAAUAUAUUAUUUUAGUAAGUUAAAAAUUAGAGACUUAAAAUAAAAUCAUCAUCAUAUUAUAAAGUAUUUAAAUUCUUUUAAAAAAAUAUCUAAAAAUUUGAAACAAUAUCUUAAAAUGAUAUUAAAAGUGAAAAAUAUUUAAAGAGCGUAACACCUUAAAAGAGAAAAGAAAAUAUAACAAUGUUUCAGAGUUGAAAAAUAUUAUAGGAUUUUCUUUCAUUCAUAUCUUGUUUAUGUUGCAUAAAAAUUAAAAAAAAUUAUUAAUUGACAUUAUAAUUGAUAAAAUAAAAAUUAUUAAAUAAGAAUUAAAAAUAUAUUUAUAUAUAAUGGGGAUUGGGAUUGGGGUGGGGGUGGGGUGGGGAGUAUAAAACCAAACCCCACCCCAUUAAGAAUUUGGGGAUUAUUUUCUCCCCACUCCCCACCCCAUUCCCCAAAAAUUAUUCAAAAUUUUUUCCAUUUGGGGUGGGGCUCCAUAGGACCCCAAACCCGUGGAGAAUUUUGCCAUCCCUAGAUCUGGGAUGUGAUAUGGUUUUGAGAGUUACUCAUUUGUGGGUUUGUUAUCACCAGUGCUUGCAGCAUGGUUUCGCUUUCCUCACAGUGCUUUGGGAGCAGUUGCCUCGUCCGCCCCAAUUAUCUAGUUUGAUAAUAUCACACCCUCAAACGCAUAUUAUGAUCUUGUCACCAAUGACUUUAGGGUAAGAAAUAAAAUUAAUUAAUUAAAAUUCUAUAUAUGUAUGAUUGUGUUUUCUUGUUAAAAUUUAACCAUUAAAUUUUGAAAAUUAAUGAUGCAAGAAGCCAGGGAGAGCUGCUACAUGACCAUCAAACAGUCCUGGGCUGAAAUGGAUAAAACCGCUGCUAGAAAAAAUGGACUUGCUUCUCUCUCUAAAAAGUUCAAAACCUGCAAGAAAUUAAUCAUAUUACUUUACAUAACUGCUUAUAUAUAUCCAUCCGAUUUUCCCUUAAGUACAAUUAAUGCAAUGUUAUUGUAGCAUCAUUAUCGAAUGUACUAUGUCUAAUUAAUUAUCUGACAUUCUCAGAGUAUAUAUACAUUUCGAUUAACGUGUAAUAUACAAAGUAAAAAUCUGGAUUUGGGCUUAUACACGGCCUUUGCAUUACCCCAUAUAUAGUAUACUGGUGCUUCGAUUCAGCCCUCCAGAGGUUCGUAUUUUACAGAAUCUAAAUUUGAACUACAAAACCACGCACAACUCUGAUUAUCAAAUAAGGCCAAAUUUGUACGUUUGCAUUUGAUAAUAUCAAUAGCUUCAUACUUAUAAAGUUUAUUGUAAUCUAACUAAAUAUAACAACAUUUUUUAGACGGCAUGUUGAAAGAUCUUUUAUAAUGUUACUAACCUUGUGGCACUUAAUUCUAUGUUGUUGUUGUUGUUUAUUUGAUUACAAGCCUCUGAAGGAUGUUUCAGAAUUGAAGGAUUAUUUAGAGUGUAUGUAUACGGGUGCAGCUCAGUAUGAUGAUCCUCAGGAAUAUCCAGUGAACAAAGCUUGUGAAGGUAUCGAUGGAGCUUCAGAAGGCACGGAUACCCUAGGCUGGAUAUUCUCAGGAAUUGUUGCUUUAAGAGGGGAGAAUUCUUGCCAUGAUGUUGAUGAAUUCUUAUCCGAUGAAACACUAGACUCGAGCUGGGGCUGGCAGGUAUGUGAUUACGGGUGACAUGAUUUCAUUAGAUACUUCUAUUGAGAUCGUCAAACAAACAACAUGUUGCGAUGAAUGAAUCUCUCACCUAACAAUACCUAUUUUAUGUACAUCUCUUAAUUUUAUUUAUGAGACUACAUAUUUAUGAAUGAUUAAAAAUAGUUUUCUCCUUUAUUUAGUUAUUUAUUUAUUAUGAUUCUUUUUUUGUUUUGGGAGGGGCGGGGAGGGGGGGGGUUUCUCAUGCAGACAUGCAGUGAAAUGGUCUCAUCGAUUGGAAUUGACAAAAAUAAUACAAUUUUCAAGCAGACGAUAGAAUAUAUGAAUUCAUGCAAUAAGUCUUAUGGAGUGGCUACAAUACCACAUUGGAUUACAACUUAUUACGGCAGUCAUGUAAGUGUCAAUUAAUCCCCAAAUUAAUUCUUUUAAUAAUUUAAUUUUUUUCAUUUUCUUUUUUAAUUAUAAAUUUUAUCUCAAUUUUUGUUCGAUUUUUAUUUCUUUUUAAUUUGCAUGGUAUAAGAGUGGUUGUAAAGAGAUUUGGUAGCAACCUUAUUUUCUCUAAUGGCUUUCGUGAUCCCUAUAGCAGCGCUGGGUAAUUAAGCUUAAGAAUUUUGGACAUUCUUUUCUAUCAAAGUUACCUAUUUAAUUAUAUACCUUUUUCUUUUUCUUUUGUUUUUUUUUUUUUUUUUGAGAUUACAGUGUUCUGGAAGAUAUAUCAGAUAGCAUAAUAGCAGUGAUAACAAAAAAUGGUAUGUAAAUGUUUCUGUAAAAUAAAAAAAUUAGUGUUCAAUUGUUUGAGGGAAAUACUCCGACGAGACCAGACGUGAUGAGCAGAUGUUUGGUGGCAGAAGUCUGCGAGCAGGUGUGUCCUGUAAGAGCCAGGUAGCAGGGGAACAGGGGCAGGAAUAUCCUGCUCAUCCACGAGCACGUCAUCCGCGAGGCCAAUUUCCUGUAAGAAGCAUAAAGCCAUUCCUGCUGUAUUCUUGCUAAGGGUUGAUUCGAGGAGACCCGGUCAAUGACAGUUGGCGAGGCAUGCUCUCCAGCCCGAGAAUCUAGGCACGAAGGCCACGCAACCACCCACGACUACGGAAAUGGGGAAUCCACGUUCGAGAGGUGGGAGGAUAACGGGCGUAGACUGCGAAAAACUGGGAUUCAGAGGAAGCCUAUAAAAAGGUAGCCAAUGAAGGUAAAGGGGUUAGCAAUUUUGAGAUUAGAAGGGAGAUAAAGAAAUUCUAAAGAAGAGAAAACUACCCAAAAGCCAUAAGAUCUGUGACAAGCGUUCCCCGAACCUUAAUAUCUGACUUGAGCGUCAGAGGGUUUGCACCGGGAAAACAACCGGCGUACUCUGACUUGUCUGUGUGUGCAGGAACCUCUGGAGAAGAAGCUUUACGAGGAGAGAUCCUGGUCGUGGUGAAGUUGAUCGAGCAGAGACCCUGGUCGUAGAACGAGGAGAACCAGAAUCUCGCAUCAACAUUUUGGCACCGUCUGUGGGGAGCUGAUCAAAAAGCUUAUGUUGAUAGCAAGAAGAGGAGUGAAGUAAGUGAAAAGCGAUGGAAACAGGGGAAGCAAUGCAGAUAACAUCCCUCGAUACCCGAGUGGAAAACAAGAAUGGCAGACAAGAACCUGUAGAGGAUCUGGAAACUGUAAGCCUAGGACCAGAGAAUCCGGGAAAGACAAUCAGAAUCGGGUCGAGACUUAAGGGAGAGCAAAAGCAGGAGUUGGUGAAAUGCUUACAGGCUCAUGCAGAUGUGUUUGCUUGGACACAUGAAGACAUGCCAGGGAUUGACCCUGAGGUAGCAUGUCAUAAGCUGGCAGUAAAGAAAGGUGCUCGGACAGUAAGGUAGAAGAGGAGGUGCUUCAACCAGGAGAGGUAUGAGGCUAUAAAUGGCGAGGUGGAGAAGCUCUUGAGAGCAGGGUUCAUUCGGGAAGUCAAUUACCCUGAAUGGAUAUCGAAUGUGGUGUUGGUAAAGAAAGCGAAUGGCAAGUGGAGGAUGUGUGUGGAUUUCACAGACCUCAAUAAGGCGUGCCCAAAGGACAGCUUCCCUUUGCCAAAGAUCGAUCAGCUAGUAGAUUCAACGGCUGGACACGCUCUGCCUAGCUUCAUGGACGCGUUCUCGGGAUACAACCAGAUCCCCAUGUACGAGCAGGACGAGGAGAGCACGGCUUUCAUCACUAACCAGGGUUUGUUCUAUUACAGGGUAAUGCCAUUUGGUCUCAAAAAUACUGGGGCCACCUAUCAGAGGAUGGUGAACAAAGUCUUUAAGCCGUUGAUUGGGAAAACCAUGGAGGUGUACGUGGAUGACAUGAUCACCAAGUCCAAAAUCCCGAAGGAACAUGUCAGACACCUCGAGGAGACAUUUGAGCUUUUGAGGAAGUAUAAGAUGAAGCUCAACCCGGAGAAAUGUGCUUUUGGGGUCGAGUCGGGGAAGUUCCUUGGAUUCAUGGUGAGUCAUCGGGGGAUCGAAGCAAAUCCCGAGAAGAUCUAGGCGAUCGUGCAGAUGAGGUCUCCUCGUAGCCUGAAGGAAAUACAAAGCCUUACGGGGAGAUUGGCGGCAUUAAGCCGGUUCAUAUCCAAGGCUACAGAUAAGUGUCAACCAUUCUUUCAAGUGAUAAGGAGGGGAAAGAAAACAGAGUGGACCCCGGAAUGCGAGGAAGCCUUUCAGAACUUGAAGCAGUAUUUACAGCAAGCCCCUCUGCUAUCCACACCGAGGGAUGGGGACAAGUUAUUUUUGUAUCUGGCGAUAUCGGAUCGGGCCGCCAGUUCUGUUCUGGUGAGAGAGGAAGAAGGAGUUCAGUAUCCACUAUACUACACCAGCAAGGCCCUGCUCGACGCUGAGACCAGAUACCCACCGUUGGAGAAAUGGGCACUUGCCCUUGUGGUUGCUGCUCGGAAGUUGAGGCCAUAUUUUCAGGCAUUCCCAGUCUCGGUUAUAACAAACCAGCCAUUGCGUCAAACUCUGCACAAGCCCGAUGCUUCUGGUUGGCUCGUCAAGUGGGCUAUAGAGCUGAGCGAGUUCGACAUAGACUACAAACCCCGAGCAGCGAUAAGGGCUCAAGCAAUGGCCAAUUUCGUAGCAGAAUUCACAGAGCCUGAAGUAUGUUUAGACCAACAAGAUGUAGUUGCAGACAAUGGCGAAGCUCAAGUAUGGCAAAUGUCUGUAGAUGGGUCAUCAGGGGAGCAGGGAUUGUAUUGGAAGGCCCGGAGGGGGAGGAGAUCUCUUAUGCUGUAAAGUUAGAAUUCACAGCAACAAAUAACCAGGCAGAGUAUGAAGCCUUGAUAGCAGGAUUGGAACUGGCUAAGGCCGUGAGAGCAGAUAGAGUGAAGAUCAGAACUGAUUCCCAGCUGGUUGCGAAUCAUGUCAGUGAAAGAUUCCAACCAAGAGAGAAGAAGAUGGAGCAGUACUUGAAGAUAGUCAGGCAGAUGAUGGGAAAAUUCGAAGCGGUGGAAGUAGUACAAAUCCCAAGGGAGCAGAAUAGUCGAGCCGAUAUUUUGGCCAGGAUGGCAGCGGUAGCAGACCCAAAAAUGCCAAAGUCGAUCCCUCUAGAGGUGAAGUCCAGCCCGAGCAUCGAGCCGAAUUCAGGGGUACUGCGGAUAGAACAAAAAUGCUCGUGGAUGGACCCGAUAGUUUCAUACCUUAGAGACGGGGUAUUACCACCAGAUAAGCUGCGAGCUCGGAAGAUUAGAGCCCAGGCCUCGAGAUACACGAUGAUUGAUGGGAUACUGUAUCGGCGAGGAUAUACACUACCUUUCCUUCGAUGUUUGGAUGAGGACGACGCGGAUUACGUCCUGAGAGAAGUACAUGAAGGAAUUUGCGGGAAUCAUUCUGGUGGGAGAUCCCUGGCCCACAAGGUUCUAAGGCAGGGAUAUUUCUGGCCGACAAUGCACCAGGAUGCACAGGAGAAGACCAAGAGCUGUGUAAGCUGCCAGAGUUUUGCAAGUUUCCCCAACCAACCACCAGAGAAGCUCACCUCUAUGGCCUCCCCUUGGCCAUUUGCUCAAUGGGGAAUUGAUCUGAUCGGCCCGCUGCCAAAGGGACGAGGAGCAGCAACGCAUGCAAUAGUUGCUAUAGAUUACUUCACGAAGUGGAUAGAGGUCGAAGCCCUUAGUAGGAUUACAGAGAAGAAAACGACAGACUUUGUGUGGAGAAACCUGGUCUGUCGAUACGGGAUCCCUUAUGCCUUGGUAACGGAUAAUGGCAGGCAGUUCGAUAAUCACAGCUUCAGGGAUUUCUGCCAGAACCUCGGGAUAGAGCUGAAGUAUUGCUCGCCUGCUCACCCUCAAUCGAAUGGACAAGUAGAAGCAGCCAACAAGACCAUCAAGAGACUUUUGAAAACCAGGCUUGGAGCAAAAAAUGGUACAUGGGUUGAUGAGCUGUCAGGUGUCCUAUGGGCAUACAGGACAACCCACAAAACAGCAACUGGGGAGACACCGUUCGCCCUGGCUUUCGGACAUGAAGCGGUCGUACCAGCUGAGAUAGGAACGACCACGCACCGGACAGACCAUUUCAAUGAGCAGGAGAACGACGAGCAGAUGUGUUUGAAUAUUGAUCUGCUAACGAAGAAGAGGGAGCAAGCAGCUGGUCGAUCAGCCAUUUACCAGCAAAGGGUUGCUCGUUAUUAUAACCAGAAGGUGAAUGUACGGCAAUUCAAGGUCGGAGACUGGGUACUGAGAAGAGUGAAUCAGAGCACCAAAGAUUCGACUCAAGGAGUGCUGGGACCGAAUUGGGAAGGGCCAUAUAGAGUCAAGCAGAUAGUGGGACCCGGAGCUUACAAGCUGGUUCGCACAGACGGCCACGAGGUGAAACGCCCAUGGAACGCAGCACACCUCCGAAAAUACUUCCAGUAAGACUUGUUCACAUUUGAAAGCUAUUUCUGCUCGUGUUCAUUAUCGUUUAUCUUUUAUGUUUUAUAUCCAAACAAUUUCAUGUAAGUCGAAUCCUGCCAUUAAUGGAACGUCGAGGAAUUUCAUUCGCUUGAAACUGUGAAAAUUUCCUAAGGCAUGCAAAGGCUCGUCAAGUCUCAAAGCCUGUUUAUGGCGAGACCAGAAGCCAAGCGUGCCAAGAUCUGCUCGGCCACGAGAAGGCGAGCAAAAUCCCAAGCUUUGAAGAAAUUGCCUAAGGCAUGCAAAGGCUCGACAAAGUCUCAAAGCCUGUUUAUGGCGAGACCAGAAGCCAAGCGUGCCAGGAUCUGCUCGGCCACGAGAAGACGAGCAGAAUCCCAAGCUUUGAAGAAAUUGCCUAAGGCAUGCAAAGGCUCGACAAAGUCUCAAAGCCUGUUUAUGGCGAGACCAGAAGCCAAGCGUGCCAGGAUCUGCUCGGCCACGAGAAGGCGAGCAGAAUCCCAAGCUUUGAAGAAAUUAUCUAAGGCAUGCAAAGGCUCGACAAAGUCUCAAAUCCUGUUUAUGGCGAGACCAGAAGCCAAGCGUGCCAGGAUGUGCUUGGCCACAAGAAGGCGAGCAGAAUCCCAAGCUUUGAAGAAAUUACCUAAGGCAUGCAAAGGCUCGUCAAGUCUCAAAGCCUGUUUAUGGCGAGACCAGAAGCCAAGCGUGCCAGGAUCUGCUCGGCCACGAGAAGGCGAGCAGAAUCCCAAGCUUUGAAGAAAUUACCUAAGGCAUGCAAAGGCUCGACAAAGUCUCAAAGCCUGUUUAUGGCGAGACCAGAAGCCAAGCGUGCCAGGAUCUGCUCGGCCACGAGAAGGCGAGCAGAAUCCCAAGCUUUGAAGAAAUUACCUAAGGCAUGCAAAGGCUCGACAAAGUCUCAAAGCCUGUUUAUGGCGAGACCAGAUGCCAAGCGUGCCAGGAUCUGCUCGGCCACGAGAAGGCGAGCAGAAUCCCAAGCUUUGAAGAAAUUGCCUAAGGCAUGCAAAGACUCGACAAAGUCUCAAAGCCUGUUUAUGGCGAGACCAGAAGCCAAGCGUGCCAGGAUCUGCUCGGCCACGAGAAGGCGAGCAGAAUCCCAAGCUUUGAAGAAAUUACGUAAGGCAUGCAAAGGCUCGACAAGUCUCAAAGCCUGUUUAUGGCGAGACCAGAAGCCAAGCGUGCCAAGAUUGGCUCGGCCACGAGAAGGCGAGCAGAAUCCCAAGCAUUGAAGAAUCUUCCAAGGCAUGUGGCAAAACCAUAUACCAAGCCAGAGCCUGCUCGAGCGGACGAAGACGAGCAGAUUCUCAAGCGGAAAAAUAACUCGUAAUUACAAUACAAGAGAGUAAUAAAAAACAUUUCUAUUAAUUUGUUAAUAAUUAACAAAGCAGAUAAUCUUCACAAAUAUUGUUCGUUACAAUACAAGAAACAUAUUUAAGAAGACGGUGGGUCCGCAAGCCGAGCAGCCUCAGUUAGCUGGUCCACCUCAGGUGCUGGGGGAGUAUCUCCAGUUGCGUCUGGGGGGGUACUCGCCUCACCAGCAUCAGCAGGGAUUACACCGGGAGGAGAGUUUUCCUCCUCUAUCACCAUUGGUGCCACCUCUUCGGCAUCCUCCUUUGCAGCCUCCUCGUCCAUAUGUUGGGCGACACCAGCUGCAAGGUCGUCCGUCUUUAGAUCAGGAUGCUGCUUCCCGAGGACGGCCAUGAUGCAACGAUAAGAAUGCCGAAGUCCCUAGUCGUACUGGUUGUCGGCCUCCUUUUCCAAGUUCUCGACCCGAGCUCGGUGGGAAUCGCGAAGAGAUUCGAGCUGAGCCUCAUACAUAGCCUUCUGCCUUUGAAGAUCCUCCUUGACCUUGGCCAGCUCUUCCUCGAGAGUAAUAGCCUUGGCUUGAGCAAGAGAUUCUCGCUCAAUCAACUUCAGAUUCUCGAGGUUUAAGUCCCCUGCUUUCUUCUCAGCAACGUCAGCUCUGGUCGUCGCCGACUGAAUGUCCUCCUUCAUCUUCCUAUCAUAACGGCCAACCUUGGCCUUAUAGUAGGUGGUCAUGCAGCUGAGAUGGAAAGCGCUAUACUGCAUGGCCCCCACCAGCUCGCCUAAGGUGCAGCCAUCAAAGUCCUCGAGGUCCUCCUUGCUCACAAGUUUGGAAAGCUCGUUGAGAUAGGGGGCCAAGUGUUCUGCUCAGCUGUCAGGUAAACGAGAUCUAUGCCCGACAGGAGGCGAAGAGGAAGCAGGAUCAGUGGCUGCUCCACUGGUCUCGCCGAGUUUGGCAGAAGGAGGAGGUAAAGUCUUCAACGGAGAGACCUGCUGCACGAUGUUGGCCCGCUUUGCAGUAGGGGCAUCCCUGUUCUGGUCCCUCUUCGUGGUUUGGGGUCGAGAACGUUUCCUGUUUAGAGCCCCAAUCACGGCGUCCUCCAUCUUAUGGCCAGGAAGUACCAAGCGAGACUCAAGCAAGUUGUAAGUAGUUAGCAGUUCUCGGCUCGAGCAGGAAUUGGCGAGUACAGCCUCGACCCAUUUGAGCUGGUUAGGUUGGAGCGGGAAGUGAACACCCCAAGAAACUACAACACAAACAGACACUUGGUUAGAGACAAGCCAAUAAAGCAAGAACAAUUAUGGAUACAAGACAUCUAAAGCGAGCAGGCAACCUGGGACCGUGAAACGGGGUGGGACGCGACAAUCCUUCCCGUCUAUUUGUGCAACUUGACCCCAAGGACCCCCAGCAAAAAAGAAUUUCCUUUUCCAGUCCCACACAACCAAGAACCGCUAAGUUUCUACUGCUGGUCCAUUACAUUACCCAACACCAGAAACUGGGGGACCGGUGUUUGAGGGAAAUACUCCGACGAGACCAGACGUGAUGAGCAGAUGUUUGGUGGCAGAAGUCUGCGAGCAGGUGUGUCCUGUAAGAGCCAGGUAGCAGGGGAACAGGGGCAGGAAUAUCCUGCUCAUCCACGAGCACGUCAUCCGCGAGGCCAAUUUCCUGUAAGAAGCAUAAAGCCAUUCUUGCUGUAUUCUUGCUAAGGGUUGAUUCGAGGAGACCCGGUCAACGACAGUUGGCGAGGCAUGCUCUCCAGCCCGAGAAUCUAGGCACAAAGGCCACGCAACCACCCACGACUACGGAAAUGGGGAAUCCACGUUCGAGAGGUGGGAGGAUAACGGGCGUAGACUGCGAAAAACUGGGAUUCAGAGGAAGCCUAUAAAAAGGUAGCCAACGAAGGUAAAGGGGUUAGCAAUUUUGAGAUUAGAAGGGAGAUAAAGAAAUUCUAAAGAAGAGAAAACUACCCAAAAGCCAUAAGAUCUGUGGCAAGCGUUCCCCGAACCUUCAUAUCUGACUUGAGCAUCGGAGGGUUUGCGCCGGGAAAACAACCGGCGUACUCUGACUUGUCUGUGUGUGCAGGAACCUCUGGAGAAGAAGCUUUACGAGGAGAGAUCCUGGUCGUGGUGAAGUUGAUCGAGCAGAGACCCUGGUCGUAGAACGAGGAGAACCAGAAUCUCGCAUCAACAUCAAUUAUUAACUAAAUUAUUCGAUAACAUAAUUAAUAAUGUGUAAAUUAGAGCAGGUUCCCAUUGCUUAGACAUACAUCCAGCAGCAGAAGAUGAUCCAGAGUGGUUAGUAAUGCAGCGAAAGAUUGAAGUGGACAUGGUUCAUGAUUGGAUCCUUAAAUACUCUGCAGAUUUGCUUCAAAAUCAGAGCAUAAGAUUAAAUUGGGACUGCAAAAUUAGUUUUUUCUUUUUCUUCCUCUCGUCUAUCUUUCUAAUAUUUAUGGAGCAAAGAUAAAUAAUAGAGCACCUAGCUAGUUUAAGAGUUCAUUUUCAUUAUUCUUAAUCUGGGUUGUCUAAAUGUGUAGAACAAGUGUGCAGUAUUACUUAAUGUAAAGCACAUAUAAAGGGCUCAAUCUUUAUGUAAUAAUCAUAUGGUGAAUAUCAAUUCAUGUACAAUCACAUUGAAUUAACCAUUUUCUCCCUUUGAUUUAGGAGUUACUGUAUAGGUCGUUGAAGCCGGUGACAGUAAAAGAAUUUGCUCUCCAUGUACAUGUAUCUCUCAUUCUCAACCUGUUCCUAUGCUUCUACAUAAUAGCUUCUUUUGUUAAUUAUUUGACAAUCUCAUGCAAUUCCAAACAUGACUUAGAAUCAGUUUGAGAUUCCGGUGGCUAUUGAAAUAAACUACUUCUAUUAUGCGGAUAAAAUAAGCUAAUGAUUAUAAAAGUAGCUCGCUCAGUGUUUGGUAAAUUCAAUUACGAAAGAACUAUUUUAUUAUAUAAUCACUAAAAUAAUUAUAAGUUUAAAUUGUCUUUUAUUUAUAUAUUAGGAUUUAUAAAAAAAAGGUAAUAUACAAUUAUUCUUUUCUUAGUUAUAAAGAAACUUUAAAAAAUGCAUUUUAUUUAAUAAGUUGCUUCUAAAAAUAAUCCCAUACUUGUUUUAAAAGCUAUUGUCAAAAUAGAGAAAAUAUAAAUUAACUUUUAACAAAUUUACCAAACAUUAUUUUUAUCAAAACUUAUAAAAUAAAUUGUUUAUAGUAUUUCAACUGUAAUCCCAAAUACGGCAUUAGUCUUUGUUCAAAAUAAGGUUAGACAUUGAAUAUGUGUACACGUAUAAACGAAAAUAUCUAGACUGAAGAAACAUCUCGACUUAAAUAAGUCUGCUUCAUUCUUUUUUUUCCACAGCAUAUGUCAAGACGUAAGUUCCAAAUCAUUGCUGACUAGGGGAAGAAGUCUUCAAAGUCAAGGUGAUUAGAUUAGCAGGUCACGAAAUUACGUAUGGGAGGGGUUCCCUGCCCUCAACUUAAAAAGAUGCCUUAAAAUUAAAUAUUAAAUAAUAUGGCAUUUGUUAAAUUUAAAAAAUAUAAAAAAAAUUAAAAAGAAAACCUUUUUUUAAGUGCCCAGAGGUUUGAACGGCAACUAUAGGAUUGUUUCACGAUGAACUUCAAAUGUGCAAGACUAAGGCAGGCCUAUCACGAUUUGGGCCAACUUUGGUAUACUCAGGAAGGGGCACGGAAGAGGGAGCAUUUUGGUUUAUAUUUUACUCAUACACACAUGAGUAAUUAUAUACAAACCUUUCAUGCCUUCACUACCUUUUUCAUGUGGGACAAAUGUAUUUUCCUUUAAUUUUCCAAUUAUAUACAAACCUUUCAUGCCUUCACUACCUUUUUCAUGUGGGACAAAUGUAUUUUCCUUUAAUUUUCCAAUUCCAUGAAUUUACUUUCAGUUACCAUUUCUCAUUUAUCCAAGGAUCAUUUUGAUCAUAUAGAUAAAACCAUUUUGAAGUAUUUACAGAGAAAUAUUUGAAACAAUUUUAACUUUUCACUUACACCACAUAGGUCUCACUCAAAAUCACGCCUCAAAUAGCCACUUGUGCUAUAUUUCCAACACCUUCUGUCUCUUUUCCUUAUUGAUCGCAUGCAAAAAAAUUGAGUGCAAUGAAAUUUUUUAUAUUCUUUCGUCUAUGAUGUUUUUGUGUAAAAAAUAAUAAAAUUCAAAUGGAUGUUAAGUAGCCCAUGAAUUUCCAUAGUUUGUAUGUUACAAAAGGAGCUUUGUAACUAUUUUAAAAAAUAAACAGAUUAUUUUGAUUAUUUUGUCAAAUCACAGGAGUUUCUACAUGUUUUUUUAUACAAAUUAAAUUCACACAAAGAUAUGAUUAGUCUUGUUUAUUUUCCUAUUUGAGUCAUAAUUUACAACAAGAACUCUUUGAGCUUUUUAUUUAUUUUAUUAUUUUGGGUGAUAUUUAGUAUCUUAAUAAUGCUAUUAACUAUUUCUAAUAUUUUCCAUAUUAUCUUAUAUUUCUGCAAUGUUAUUCAAAUAGAUUUAUAAGCUAAAGCCAAUAAGCCAAUUGGAUAGUACUAUUGAGACCGUCAAAUAAACAACAUGUCGCAAUGAAUGAGUCUUUCGUCUAACAAUACUUAUUUUAUGUACAUCUCUAAAUUUUAUUUAUGAGAAUACAUAUUUAUAAAUGAUUAAAAAUAAUUUUCUUCUUCAUCUUAUUUAUUUAUUAUUUUUUUUUUUUAGGGAGGGGGAGUGCCAUCCAGACAUACAGUGAAAUGGUCUCACCAAUUGGAAUUGGCAAAAACGACACAAUGUUUCAAACAUACUCAUUUAAUCUGACAGAAUAUAUGAAUUCAUGCAAUAAGUCUUAUGGAGUGGUUCCCAGACCACAUUAGAUUACAACAUAUUACGGCGGUCAUGUAAGUAUUGAUUAAUCCCCAAAUUAAUUCUUUUAAUAAUUUAAUUUUUCUCAUUUUCUUUUUUAAUUAUAAAGUUUACCUCAAUUGUUGUUUGAUUUCUAUUUCUUUUUAAUUUGCAAGAUAUAAGAGUGGUUUUAAAGAGAUUUGGUAGCAACAUUAUUUUACCUAAUGGCCUUCGUGAUAUGAUCCCUAUAGCAGCGAGGGGUAAUUAAGCUUAAAAAUUUUAUACUCUUUUCUAUCGAAGUUACCCGUUUAAUUAUAUGCCUUAUUCUUUUUCUUCUCUUUUUUUUUGGUGGGGGGGGGGGGGGGGAGAUUAUAGGGUUUUGGAAGAUAUCAGACAAUAUAAUAGCAGCGACAACAAGAAACAGUAUGUAAAUUUUUCUAUAAAAUAAAAAAUAAGUGUUCAAUUAUUAACUAAAUUAAAUUAUUCGAUAACAUAAUUAAUAGUGUGUAAAGUGGAGCAGGUUCCCAUUGCUUAGACAUACAACCAGCAAUAGAAGACGACCCAUAAUGGUUAGCAGUGCACAGUGCAGCGAAAGAUUGAAGUGGACAUGCUUCAUGGUUGGAUCCUCAAAUAUUUUGCAGAUUUGCUUCAAAAUCAGAGCAUAAGAUUAAUUUGUGACUACAAAAUUAGUUUUUUUCUUUUUCUUCAUCUCCUCUAUCUUUCUAAUAUUUAUGGAGCAAAGAUAAAUAAUAAUAGUGCACCUAGCUAGUUUGGAUUUGGUUGUAAUUUUCAUAAUCCUUACUCUGAGUUGUCUAAAUGUGUAGAACAGGUGUGCAGUAUUAGUUAAUGUAAAACACUUAAGGCUCAAUCUUUAUGUAAUAAUCAUAUGGUGAAUAUCAAUUCAUAUUCAAUCAGAUGAAUUAACUAUUUCCUCCCUUCGAUUUAAGAGUUACUGUAUAGGUCCUUGAAGCCGGAGGUAGUCAAAGAUUUGCCCUCCACACACACACACACAUAUAAAAAUAUUCAAAUUCAGAAUUUUAAAAUGCGGGAACGUUUGGGAAAACGCAUAAACUGUGCAGUUUAAGUGCUUUAAGUAUUAGACCUUUAAAACCCCGCAGUUUUAAAGUUUUUCCUAAUGUUUCCCACACUUUAAGAUCCUGUACCAAAAAACUACUAUAUAUAUAUAUAUAUUAGGUGUUUAAGCUUGUAUGCUCCGUUUAUUAGUAGCCAAGCUUGCGAGUAUAUUGCUUCUGGUGAACCUCUUCCUAUUCUUCUCCUUAAUAGCUAUUUCUCUUAAUUAUUUGACAAUCUAAUGCAAUCCCAAACGUGACUUAGCAUCAAGUUUAGGAUGGCGGUUGCUGAUAAAAUAAGUUAUUUCUAUUGUGAGGACGAAAUAAGUUGAUGAUUAAAAAAGUAUCUUGUUCAUGUUUAGUAAAUUUGAUUAUGAAUGUGCUGUAUUAUUUAAUGACUAAAAUAAACAUGAGUUUAAAUUGUCUUUUAUUUAUAUAUUAGAGCUUAUAGAAAAGUAAGAUAUAAUUAUUCUUUUCUUAAAAUAUUAAGGUUAUAAUAUGAACAUUUAAAAAGAUAUAGCAACUUAUUUAAUAAGUUGCUUAUAAAAAUAAUCUCUAUUCUGUUUUUAAAAGUUACAGUCAAAAUAGAGAAAAUUAUAAAAAAAAAACAACUUUUAACAAAGCCAUCAAACUUCAUUUUUAUCUAAACUUAUAAAAUAAGCUGCUUAUAGCAUUUCAAUCACAAUCCUGGGGCAUUAAUCUUUGUGUAGAAUCAGAUUAGACAUUGAAUAUUUCUAAUUUUCUACACAUAAAUUAAAAUAUGUAGACUAGAAAAACACCUUGACUUCGUAAGUCCACUUCAUUCUUUAAUUUCCGCAGCAUAUGUCAAGACGUUAUUUUCAAAUAAUUGCCGACUAGGAGAAGUCUUAUAGUCAAGGUGAUUACAUGAGCGUGUUAUGGAAUCGUAGUGGUUCCCUGCCCUCAACUAAAAAAGUGGCCUUCAAAAUUAAAUAUUAAAUAAUGUGGCAUUAUUAAUGUUAUAUAUAUAUAUAUAUAUAUGUGUGUGUGUGUGUGUCUGUGAGUGUGUAUAUAUGUAUAUAUAAUAUUAUAUAUAUAUAUAUAUUAGGUUUCAUGUUUUGCACGGGUUCGAACGGCAGUUGUAAUAUUAAAUAAUAUGGCAUUAUUAAAGUUAAAAAAAUAUCUAAAGUUAAUCAUAAAAAAAUAUUUUUUUUAUAAAAAAAUAAAUAAAGAUUAAAAUGGAUGUUAGGUAGCCCGUGAGUUUCCAUAGUUUGUAUGUUACAAAAGGACUUUUGUAACUAUUUUAAAAAAAUAAAAAAAUUAUUUUGAUUAUUCUGUCAAGUCACAGUAGUGUAGACAUCCUUUCUCUAUAGUUUAUUUAUAAUAUUAAAUUUAUACAAAGAUAUGGUUAGUCUCGUUUAUUUUCCUAUGAGAGUCAUAAUUUACACCAACAAUUCUUUGAGCUUCUUUUUCUUUUUAUUAUUUUGGGUAAUAUUUAAUAUCUUAAUAAUGCUAUUAAUUAUUUCUAAUAUUUUUCAUAUUAUCUCAUGUUUCUGCAAUGUUGUUCAAAUAGAUCUACACCACACAAAUACAAGCCAAUAAGGUUAUAUCUCCAUGAUUGAAUCCAUCUAGAGAAGACCUUGACUCACACUCUUUGAAAACGCGUAUUGGAAAUUAACACCGGGAGGUUGAAAAACAAUUAAUUCUUAUAUAAACGCUUUGCUGAGAAUCAAAUGUAGCUCAAUCAACCGAAAACCAUUAUAAACAUGGCAGCAGCAUCCACUGUUUCGAGAUUGGUGGUCAUUAUAAUUUUAAUUAAUGUUGGUGCUAUAAGUGAUACGACAAUAUUUGCAAUAGCAUCAGCUGCUGGAUUAUUGUCGUCACCCAAACUGUUAGAAAGGGAAGCUUUACUUGGUACAGGCUGGUGGGUCAACAAUUGCGCGACGGGCAACUACACGUCCUAUCAUUGUAAGUGGACUGGCAUCAGUUGCAAUUCAGCGGGAAGCGUAAUCGGGGUCAGCUUACUCUGGUAUGAAAAUGAUAACAUCACAGGAGAGCUCGGUCGUUUCAAAUUCUCUUGCUUUCCGAACCUCAGAAGUUUCAAAAUUCAUUCAAAUUAUUCUAUCUCUGGAAGCAUUCCAUCCGAAAUUACUGCCCUUUCAAUGCUCCAAACUCUUGAACUGCCCUCCAACAAUCUUACCGGUAAGCUACCAAACUUCACUAUAUAUAUAUAUAUAUAUAUAUAUAUGUAUGUAUGUAUGAAGUCGUGCUCAUGCUUGAAGCAGGAGUCUGUUUUUACAACACUGAAGAAGUUUUUUUUAUGAGGAUUUCUUUAUAAAUUUUAUUUAUAUGAGGAUAGUGAAUACUGAUCUCGUUUUUCAUAAAUCACAUGCGCAACAGGAAUUGUCCCUUCAGAGAUGGGGAGAUUGAGGAAUCUUGUCCACCUGGAUCUAUCUGAUAAUUACAUCUGGGGAUAUAUCCCUCCAACUCUUGGUCGUCUAAGCAAAUUGGAAAAUUUCAACCUGUCUUCUAAUGCCCUUGAUGGUAAUAUCCCUCCAACUCUUGGUCGUGUAAGCAAAUUGAAAAUUUUGAACUUGUCUUCUAACUCUCUUGUUGGUAAUAUCCCCCCCACUCUAGGUCAUCUAACCCAUCUAACUACUUUGGCUAUUGCUUGGAACCAAAUUAAUGGUUCCAUCCCAUUAAGAAUCGGGAGUUUGAAGGCUCUUCAAGUUCUUGACUUGUCCAUAAAUGAAAUUGAAGGUUCAAUGCCUUCAACACUUGGCCAUUUAAAGAGAUUGAGAAGUUUAGACUUGUCCGGUAACAAUCUUGUUGGUCCAAUCCCUUCGUCUGUGGGUCAUUUGACUCAGCUAACAACUUUUGAUAUGCACUCAAACCGAAUCAAUGGUUCCAUCCCAUUAGAAAUCGGGAAUUUGAACUUUCUUCAAGUUCUUGAUCUGUCCAACAACAAACUUGAAGGUCCAAUUCCUUCGACCAUAGCUAGUUUAGUCAACUUAACAUCUUUGUUCCUGUGCAAUAACAAUCUAACUGGAUCUAUUCCUUCAACACUUGGUCAUUUAAACAGGUUGACAAGUUUAGACUUGUCCAGUAACAAUCUUGUUGGUCCAAUCCCUUCGUCUGUGGGUCAUUUGACUCAGCUAACAACUUUUGAUAUGCACUCAAACCGAAUCAAUGGCUCCAUCCCAUUAGAAAUCGGGAAUUUGAACUUUCUUCAAGUUCUUGAUCUGUCCGACAACAAACUUGAAGGUCCAAUUCCUUCGACCAUAGCUAGUUUAGUCAACUUAACAUCUUUGUUCCUGUGCAAUAACAAUCUAACUGGAUCUAUUCCUUCAACACUUGGUCGUUUAAACAGGUUGACAAGUUUAGACUUGUCCAGUAACAAUCUUGUUGGUCCAAUCCCUUCGUCUGUGGGUCAUUUGACUCAGCUAACAACUUUUGAUAUGCACUCAAACCGAAUCAAUGGUUCCAUCCCAUUAGAAAUCGGGAAUUUGAAACAUGUUGAAGAUGUGUACCUGUUCAACAACAAACUUGAUGGUCCAAUUCCUCCACAACUCAUGAAUUGCUCAAAGCUGAGAGCAUUAUCAUUGAGUAAAAACUUGUUAAGUGGAAGCAUCCCAUCAGAGAUUGGCAAACUUCAAGAACUAUAUUAUCUUAAUCUGAGCCAUAACUCCAUUAAUGGUAAAAUACCUUCCCAGCUUGGAGCAAUUCCAAACAUAGAUACCGUGGACCUUUGCAUGAAUAACCUCUCCGGUAGUAUCCCUGAAUCUGUCACAAAUGUGCCACACUUAGAUGUGUCAGGCAACAAUUUGGAGGUAGAAAUCCCAAGUACUUCGGCAAAAGCGCCACCACCACAUCACAAAGGCAAUGACAAAAAGAUUGCCACUCGCUUGGUUGCAAUUAUUCUCCCUAUGGUCGCAUUGCUUGCCUUGAUAUUUGGAAUCUUGUUUGUCCGUAGACGAAGGGAUAAGAGAGUUGAACCAGCUGAGACAGGAGAAAUCACCAAGUGCGCUGAUGAGUUUGCAAUUUGGAAUUACGACGGUAGAAUUACAUUUCAAGACAUGAUUGAAGCUACUGAGGAUUUCCAUAUCAAAUACUGCAUUGGAACCGGAGGCUACGGCAGCGUUUACAGAGCACGACUACCCAGUGGAAAAGUAGUUGCUUUGAAGAAGCUUCACGGUUCAGAAACUGAGGAGUUAGCUUCCCUCGAGAGUUUCCGGAAUGAGGCUCGUCUACUGUCCCAAAUACGGCAUCGAAAUAUCGUAAAGCUUUACGGGUUUUGUUUGCACAGGAAAUGUAUGUUCUUAAUCUAUGAGUACAUGGAAAUGGGAAGCUUGUUCUGUGUUCUGCGCACAGAUGAGGAAGCUGUGGGGUUGGAUUGGGCUAAAAGGGUGAACGUUGUGAAGGGCAUGGCUCAUGCUUUGUCAUACUUGCAUCAUGACUGCACACCACCAAUUGUUCACCGGGACAUAUCAAGCAACAACAUUCUACUCAACUCAGAAUUAGAAGCAUUUGUUGCCGACUUUGGCGUUGCUAGAUUGUUAAAUUUUGACUCAUCCAAUCGAACUCUAUUGGCUGGCACUCAUGGAUAUAUUGCUCCAGGUAAUCUUCUAGCCAUUCUUCUUCUGCUUCUUUAAUUAUUCUUUUAAUUAAUUUUUAUAUACACUCUGUUAAGUAAUUUUUAAGCAGUUUUAUUUAGUUAGCUAUUUAGGUUCAAAUUUUGGAAUAGGUAAGGAGCUGAAAGAUAAAUUUAAACUUUGCCUACCCGUUUAACUUUUUUUUAAAAAAAAAAAAAUUACACACAGUUUAAAUAUCAAUUAAAAACAUAUGUUUUUCUGUCAUACCUUGCUGAAGAAGCUCAAAAAUAUAAACAAAUUGCUCUUGUUAUUAUAUAGGAAAUAUCACUAAUAAAGGCUUCUGUUUUCCUAUAGAACUGGCCUACACCAUGAUUGUGACGGAGAAAUCUGAUGUUUAUAGCUUCGGAGUGGUGGCACUAGAAGUACUAAUGGGAAAGCAUCCUGGAGAGCUCCUCUCAUCGUUAUCUUCGUCAUUAGAUAAAAAUAUUAAGCUGAUUGAUUUGCUGGACCCACGCCUCUCACCUCCGGUGGAUCAAAAGAUUAGGCAGGAUAUCAUUCUUGUUUCAACAGUAGCAUUUUCAUGCUUGCGUUCUCAACCAAAGUCUCGACCUACAAUGCAACUCGUGUCCAACGAAUUUAUCGCUCGCAAUAAGACACCAAUGCAAAAACCUUUUCAUGAAAUUUCAAUUUUGGAGCUUAGAAACCAAGAAAUGUAUUUGGUUGAUUAAUGUGAUAUCUAAUUAUGGAUACGUAUAUUUAACUGUUCAUGUAUGUGAUGGGAUUGCUUCUAAUCCUAAUAGAAUUUUCCAAUAAAGGUGACUGUUAAUUAGUUCUGAAAUUAUUAUUAGGUAGUAGCAAUGUAGCGUAUAUUAUGUGUUCGACGAAUUGUCUCCCUUAGUAUUAUUAAUUCCAUUUACACGUUCACUACCUAUAUAUAUUGAAUUGCAAUUAAACAUAUGUGCAAACUACGACAUUAAUGUCUCGGGUAAAGCUAGUACUUUCGCAGUUGGUUAGUCUAAUUGUCACCCCCUCAAUGAGCUGAAUUAAACAGGAUUUUAAGGAAUUUAAAGGUUGUAUCUCUACGAGUUAAAAGGGUAAAUUGUCAUUUUAAUUAUUAGUUUAUUUUACAAAUUAUAUAUAUAUAAACUUCAUGCAGAAUGAGGUUCUUGAUGUCGCGUUAUUUAAUAUAUUAGUUUUUUCACUCCUUUGUAAAUAUUCACACAAACAUAUACAAUAAUUUAGCUGAUCCGAUCAAACAUCCUUAGUUUUUUCACUCCUUUGUAAAUAUUCACACAUAUACAAUAAUUUAGCUGAUCCGAUCAAACAUCCUGGACCCACCGCUGAUGUUAGGAAGCUUCUGCAUAAGCUGUGGUUAGUGUCUUAGUGAUAUCCCGCCAACAACCUGCCAGCAAAAGAUAAACUAAUGUCAGGUCAUGAUCAAGAAAAAUUUGCUAAUGUCAGCAGAAGAAGUCAUAACCAUGCAUAUAUGAAGCACUUUCAAAGAGUAGAUCUAACAGUGUCUGGUUUUCAUUUUUGGAGUUUUUUACCAAUGACUGGAGAGUAGAGAACAACACAUGAUCCCCGUUACAGUAUUGUUGCUUGAAUUUAUAGGCUUCAUCAAUCAGUACCUUCAAAUCCAUAUAUAAUGAGAUGGAAGAAUGAAUUUAAAUUUAUUAAUGUCAUUUCCGAGUUUUAAAAUGAUAAAGCAAGUUGCAACUGAUUCAUUGAAAUUUAAAACAUUCAUAAUGAAGUGCAAGAGCAAAAUAAAAGUUAGGAGCUUUACCUUCAGCAUAACAAGGAGUCUGCUGGAUCAGGCCCACUUUAUCUGCCGCUAUAGACCACCACCUCUUCAUCUUCAGCCUUCUCAAUAACACGGUCUCUUGUUUCUUCAUUUGAUUCUUCGACCACUACAGCUUCACCUUCAACAUUCUCAGUAGGCUCUGAUG
rnacentral:lncRNA from 1 species